UACGUAGGGUGCAAGCGUUGUCCGGAAUUAUUGGGCGUAGAGAGCUCGUAGGCGGUUUGUCGCGUCUGCUGUGAAAACUGGGGGCUCAACCCCCAACCUGCAGUGGGUACGGGCAGACUAGAGUGCGGUAGGGGAGAUUGGAAUUCCUGGUGUAGCGGUGGAAUGCGCAGAUAUCAGGAGGAACACCGAUGGCGAAGGCAGAUCUCUGGGCCGUAACUGACGCUGAGGAGCGAAAGCUGGGGGAGCGAACAGG
rnacentral:rRNA from 1 species